GGACGAACGCUGGCGGCGUGCUUAACCCAUGCAAGUCGAACGCUGAAGACCUGGCUUUUGUUGGGUUGGAUGAGUGGCGAACGGGUGAGUAACACGUGAGUAACCUGCCCUCUUCUUUGGGAUAACGCCCGGAAACGGGUGCUAAUACUGGAUAUUCACUGAUCUUCGCAUGGGGGUUGGUGGAAAGGUUUGUUCUGGUGGGGGUUGGGCUCGCGGCCUAUCAGCUUGUUGGUGGGGUGAUGGCCUACCAAGGCUUUGACGGGUAGCCGGCCUGAGAGGGGGACCGGUCACGUUGGGACUGAGAUACGGCCCAGACUCCUACGGGAGGCAGCAGUGGGGGAUAGUGCACGAUGGGCGAAAGCCUGAUGCAGCGACGCCGCGUGAGGGAUGGAGGCCUUCGGGUUGUAAACCUCUUUCGCUCAUGGUCAAGCCGCAACUGGGGGUUGUGGUGAGGGUAGUGGGUAAAGAAGCGCCGGCUAACUACGUG
rnacentral:rRNA from 1 species